CCUACGGGCGGCAGCAGUGGGGAAUAUUGGACAAUGGGGGGAACCCUGAUCCAGCCAUGCCGCGUGUGUGAAGAAGGCCCUCGGGUUGUAAAGCACUUUCAGUGAGGAAGAACGCCUGGUGGUUAAUACCCAUCAGGAAAGACAUCACUCACAGAAGAAGCACCGGCUAACUCCGUGCCAGCAGCCGCGGUAAUACGGAGGGUGCGAGCGUUAAUCGGAAUUACUGGGCGUAAAGCGCGCGUAGGUGGCUUGAUAAGCCGGUUGUGAAAGCCCCGGGCUCAACCUGGGAACGGCAUCCGGAACUGUCAAGCUAGAGUGCAGGAGAGGAAGGUAGAAUUCCCGGUGUAGCGGUGAAAUGCGUAGAGAUCGGGAGGAAUACCGGUGGCGAAGGCGGCCUUCUGGACUGACACUGACACUGAGGUGCGAAAGCGUGGGUAGCAAACAGGAUUAGAUACCCUUGUAGUC
rnacentral:rRNA from 1 species